AUUGAACGCUGGCGGCAGGCUUAACACAUGCAAGUCGAACGAAGUGGCGAACGGGUGAGUAACGCGGAAUCAACCUGCCCUUCAGAGGGGGACAACAGUUGGAAACGACUGCUAAUAACGCAUACUGAAGGAGGGGUAUGCGUCGGAUUAGCUAGUUGGAGGGGUAACGGCCCACAAAGGCGAUGAGCAGUAGCCGGUUUGAGAGGAUGAAAGGCCACAUUGGGACUGAGACACGGCCCAGACGUCUACGGGAGGCAGCAGGUGGGAAUUUUCCGCAAUGGACGAAAGUCUGACGUAGCAACGCCGCGUGAGUGAUGACGGCCUUCGGGUUGUAAAGCUCUGUUAAUCGGGACGCGGUACCGGAAUAGAAAGCCACGGCUAACUACGUGCCAGCAGCCGCGGUAAUAC
rnacentral:rRNA from 1 species